CUCUUUUGUCCUGAAAAAAUAAAUAUAUAAUUUGUAUGGAAACAGUAAAUGAGAGGGCGGAAAAUUACAGCUAAACACAAACACCACAAAAGUGUAAAAAGAGGCCUGGUCGCAAAUGUACAUUGCAAAAACAGUCCAGUCCUUAAGGGGUUAAACUAUCAACUAAAUUCAAAUUACCCCAGACCAUAUUGAUUCUAGACUAUGUGAAAUAUAC